UAUCAUCAGGAUCAUCAUUAGCAUUAUCAGCGUCACCACCACCACCACCAUCAUCAUCAUCAUCAUCAACAUUGCUAUCAUGUGGCAAAUAUGGGAGUAGAGGCCAUGGAGACAAUGGCUCAGUGACUGAGCUGCUGUCAAAGCUGUACCUCCUGUUCUGUGAUUAGUGCUGAGUUUCUGGGGCCUAGCAAUAUUUUCUAUCCCCGACCAAGAGGGUGUGGUCUUGCUGACUCCAGUGAUCAAGUUCAGAACCAGAAGAAUAUUUCUCACCUGACAAAGGAACCAAAUAUAUGCACACACUGGAGCUUAACCUUAGACCCGAGCAUGGGAUCACCUUCUCCUAUGGACCUUGUGUUUCCCACACUUUCCUCUGGGAUUGACCCACCAACAGGAAUUGUGCCUGGUGCCUACUUACUAAAUCCUCAGCCUCAAAAGUAAGGAUGUACAGAAGUCAUUACUUAAAAAGAUUUUUUUUAAGGUGUGACCUUCAUAUUUAAAGUGAAAUGUGCAGAAAGGCAGAGGUCCACACGAUCAUGUAAUCUGUAUAAACAAAUGAUCUCAAUGGUUA